AGGUUCGAUUCUGGCUCAGGACGAACGCUGGCGGCAUGCCUAACACAUGCAAGUCGAACGGGGGUAGCAAUACCCUAGUGGCGAACGGGUGAGUAACACAUAAGCAAUCUGCCCUUCACAGGGGGAUAACAGCGGGAAACUGCUGCUAAUACCGCAUAAGACCACGGUACCGCAUGGUACAGGGGUAAAAACGAAUCAGUGGUGAAGGAUGAGCUUAUGUCCCAUUAGCUAGUUGGUGAGAUAACAGCCCACCAAGGCGACGAUGGGUAGCCGACCUGAGAGGGUGAUCGGCCACACUGGAACUGAGACACGGUCCAGACUCCUACGGGAGGCAGCAGUGGGGAAUAUUGGGCAAUGGAAGGAAACUCUUACCCAGCAAUGCCGCGUGAGUGAAGAAGGUCUUCGGAUUGUAAAGCUCUUUGAUUGGGGACGAAGAAAGUGACGGUACCCAAAGAACAAGCCCCGGCUAACUACGUGCCAGCCGCGGC
rnacentral:rRNA from 1 species